CUACGGGUGGCUCCAGUGGGGGAUAUUGCACAAUGGGCGAAAGCCUGAUGCAGCAACGCCGCGUGAAGGAAGACGGUUUUCGGAUUGUAAACUUCUAUCAGCAGGGAAGAAAAUGACUGUACCUGACUAAGAAGCCCCGGCUAACUACGUGCCAGCAGCCGCGGUAAUACGUAGGGGGCAAGCGUUAUCCGGAAUUACUGGGUGUAAAGGGUACGUAGGCGGCUGAUCAAGUCAGAUGUGAAAGCCCGGGGCUCAACCCCGGGACUGCAUUUGAAACUGGUUGGCUAGAGUGCAGGAGAGGAAAGUGGAAUUCCUAGUGUAGCGGUGAAAUGCGUAGAUAUUAGGAAGAACACCAGUGGCGAAGGCGGCUUUCUGGACUGUAACUGACGCUGAGGUACGAAAGCGUGGGGAGCGAACAGGAUUAGAUACCCGGGUAGUC
rnacentral:rRNA from 1 species